rnacentral:rRNA from 1 species
UACGUAGGGUCCGAGCGUUUGUCCGGAAUUACUGGGCGUAAAGAGCUCGUAGGUGGUUUGUCGCGUUGUUCGUGAAAACUCACAGCUCAACUGUGGGCGUGCGGGCGAUACGGGCAGACUUGAGUACUGCAGGGGGAGACUGGAAUUCCUGGUGUAGCGGUGGAAUGCGCAGAUAUCAGGAGGAACACCGGUGGCGAAGGCGGGUCUCUGGGCAGUAACUGACGCUGAGGAGCGAAAGCGUGGGGGAGCGAACAGG